UUCCCCUAGUAACUGCGAGUGAAGCGGGAAAAGCUCAAAUUUAAAAUCUGGCGGUCUCUGGCCGUCCGAGUUGUAAUCUAGAGAAGUAAUGCCCGCGCUGGACCGUGUACAAGUCUCCUGGGAUGGAGCAUCAUAGAGGGUGAGAAUCCCGUCUCUGACACGGACUACCAGGGCUUUGUGGUAUGCUCUCAAAGAGUCGAGUUGUUUGGGAAUGCAGCUCAAAAUGGGUGGUAAAUUCCAUCUAAAGCUAAAUAUUGGCGAGAGACCGAUAGCGAACAAGUACCGUGAGGGAAAGAUGAAAAGAACUUUGGAAAGAGAGUUAAACAGUACGUGAAAUUGCUGAAAGGGAAACGCUUGAAGUCAGUCGCGUUGGCCAGGAAUCAGCCUCGCUUUUGCGUGGUGUACUUUCUGGUUGAUGGGUCAGCAUCAAUUUUGACCACUGGAAAAAGGCCUGGGGAAUGUGGCAGCUUCGGCUGUGUUAUAGCCCCUGGUUGCAUACAGUGGUUGGGAUUGAGGAACUCAGCACGCCGCAAGGCCGGGUUUCGACCACGUUCGUGCUUAGGAUGCUGGCAUAAUGGCUUUAAGCGACCCGUCUUGAAACACGGACCAAGGAGUCUAACAUGCCUGCGAGUAUUUGGGUGGAAAACCCGAGUGCGUAAUGAAAGUGAAAGUUGAGAUCCCUGUCGUGGGGAGCAUCGACGCCCGGACCAGAACUUUUGGGACGGAUCCGCGGUAGAGCAUGUAUGUUGGGACCCGAAAGAUGGUGAACUAUGCCUGAAUAGGGUGAAGCCAGAGGAAACUCUGGUGGAGGCUCGUAGC
rnacentral:rRNA from 1 species